rnacentral:rRNA from 1 species
AUUGAACGCUGGCGGCAGGCCUAACACAUGCAAGUCGAACGGUAACAGAAAGCAGCUUGCUGCUUUGCUGACGAGUGGCGGACGGGUGAGUAAUGUCUGGGAAACUGCCUGAUGGAGGGGGAUAACUACUGGAAACGGUAGCUAAUACCGCAUAACGUCGCAAGACCAAAGAGGGGGACCUUCGGGCCUCUUGCCAUCGGAUGUGCCCAGAUGGGAUUAGCUUGUUGGUGGGGUAACGGCUCACCAAGGCGACGAUCCCUAGCUGGUCUGAGAGGAUGACCAGCCACACUGGAACUGAGACACGGUCCAGACUCCUACGGGAGGCAGCAGUGGGGAAUAUUGCACAAUGGGCGCAAGCCUGAUGCAGCCAUGCCGCGUGUAUGAAGAAGGCCUUCGGGUUGUAAAGUACUUUCAGCGGGGAGGAAGGGAGUAAAGUUAAUACCUUUGCUCAUUGACGUUACCCGCAGAAGAAGCACCAGCUAACUCCGUG